rnacentral:rRNA from 1 species
AACGCAGUGCGACGUGCUUACACAUGCAGUCGAGCGGAAAGGCCCUUCGGGGUACUCGAGCGGCGAACGGGUGAGUAACACGUGAGCAACCUGCCCUAGGCUUUGGGAUAACCCCGGGAAACCGGGGCUAAUACCGAAUAUGACCUUUCCUCGCAUGAGGUUUGGUGGAAAGUUUUUCGGCCUGGGAUGGGCUCGCGGCCUAUCAGCUUGUUGGUGGGGUGAUGGCCUACCAAGGCGACGACGGGUAGCCGGCCUGAGAGGGCGACCGGCCACACUGGGACUGAGACACGGCCCAGACUCCUACGGGAGGCAGCAGUGGGGAAUAUUGCACAAUGGGCGGAAGCCUGAUGCAGCGACGCCGCGUGAGGGAUGACGGCCUUCGGGUUGUAAACCUCUUUCAGCAGGGACGAAGCGUAAGUGACGGUACCUGCAGAAGAAGCGCCGGCCAACUACGUGCCAGCAGCCGCGGUAAGACGUAGGGCGCGAGCGUUGUCCGGAUUUAUUGGGCGUAAAGAGCUCGUAGGCGGCUUGUCGCGUCGACUGUGAAAACCCGCAGCUCAACUGCGGGCCUGCAGUCGAUACGGGCAGGCUAGAGUUCGGUAGGGGAGACUGGAAUUCCUGGUGUAGCGGUGAAAUGCGCAGAUAUCAGGAGGAACACCGGUGGCGAAGGCGGGUCUCUGGGCCGAUACUGACGCUGAGGAGCGAAAGCGUGGGGAGCGAACAGGAUUAGAUACCCUGGUAGUCCACGCUGUAAACGUUGGGCGCUAGGUGUGGGGGGCCUCUCCGGUUCCCUGUGCCGCAGCUAACGCAUUAAGCGCCCCGCCUGGGGAGUACGGCCGCAAGGCUAAA